GCCUGGGUGGUGGAAUUGGCAGACACGCUGGAUUUAGGAUCCAGUGCCGCAAGGCGUAGGGGUUCGACUCCCCUCCCAGGUACCA
rnacentral:tRNA from 1 species